AGUAAUGCUUGGGGAUCUAGCUUAUGGAGGGGGAUAACUACGGGAAACUGUAGCUAAUACCGCGUAGAAUCGAGAGAUGAAAGUGUGGGACCUUCGGGCCACAUGCCAUAGGAUGAGCCCAAGUGGGAUUAGGUAGUUGGUGAGGUAAAGGCUCACCAAGCCGACGAUCUCUAGCUGGUCUGAGAGGAUGACCAGCCACACUGGGACUGAGACACGGCCCAG
rnacentral:rRNA from 1 species